rnacentral:rRNA from 1 species
UACGUAGGUGGCGAGCGUUGUCCGGAAUUACUGGGUGUAAAGGGAGUGUAGGCGGGAAAGCAAGUCAGAAGUGAAAACUAUGGGCUUAACCUAUAGCCUGCUUUUGAAACUGUUUUUCUUGAGUGAAGUAGAGGCAAGCGGAAUUCCUAGUGUAGCGGUGAAAUGCGUAGAUAUUAGGAGGAACACCAGUGGCGAAGGCGGCUUGCUGGGCUUUUACUGACGCUGAGGCUCGAAAGCGUGGGGAGCAAACAGG